rnacentral:rRNA from 1 species
UACGUAGGGUGCAAGCGUUUGUCCGGAAUUAUUGGGCGUAAAGAGCUCGUAGGCGGUUCGUCGCGUCGGCUGUGAAACCCGGAGCUCAACUCCGGGCCUGCGUUCGGAUACUGGAUGGCUAGAGUCUGGUAGGGGGAUCUGGAAUUCCUGGUGUAGCGGUGGAUGCGCAGAGUAUCAGGAGGAACACCGGUGGCGAAGGCGGGAUCCUGGGCCAGUACUGACGCUGAGGAGCGAAAGCGUGGGGAGCAAACAGGAUUAAGAAACCCUGAGUACAGUCCGAGACCAA